AUUUUAAUGUAGGUACUUCCAGGAUAAUACGAGCAGACAGGGGAAAUGAAAACUUAAAUAUCGCUGCUAUUCAAAUGUUUUUUAGAAGAAAUUACACUGACGCGUUUGCCGGCGAGAACAGUGUCUUGUUUGGAAAAUCAACGUCUAACCAGCGCAUAGAGCCUUUGUGGUCGCAUUUAAGAAAGACCAAAAUUGACUGGUGGAUUAUUUUAAUUAUUUUAAAGAUAUGGACAGUGAUGGUUCGUGGGAGUCAAGUGAUGUGAUUCAUCGGGAAGCUCUAAAGUUUAGUUUCAACGAAAUUGUACAAAAGGAGUUGGACGACUUUCGUGUAUUGCACAACACUCAUCGGAUUAGACCAUACCGGAAUCAACACUGUCCUAAUGGUCGACCGUGUUUUAUUUAUU